AUCCUUUCUGGUUCAUAAAGCGAGAUGAUUGGGUGUUCACGCCAUUGCGUGAUGUGCGCCACCCAUAAACCUUAUUACGACGUGGGCACAUUACCCAUCUGACA